CCUACGGGAGGCAGCAGUGAGGAAUAUUGGUCAAUGGACGAGAGUCUGAACCAGCCAAGUAGCGUGAAAGAUGACUGCCCUAUGGGUUGUAAACUUCUUUUAUAUGGGAGUAAAAUGUUCCACGUGUGGGAUUUUGUAUGUACCAUAUGAAUAAGGAUCGGCUAACUCCGUGCCAGCAGCCGCGGUAAUACGGAGGAUCCGAGCGUUAUCCGGAUUUAUUGGGGUUAAAGGGAGCGUAGGUGGAUUGUUAAGUCAGUUGUGAAAGUUUGCGGCUCAACCGUAAAAUUGCAGUUGAAACUGGAAGUCUUGAGUACAGUAGAGGUGGGCGGAAUUAGUUGUGUAGCGGUGAAAUGCAUAGAUAUAACGAAGAACUCCGAUAGCGAAGGCAGCUUACUGGACUGAAACUGACACUGAGGCACGAAAGUGUGGGUAGCAAACAGGAUUAGAUACCCGUGUAGUC
rnacentral:rRNA from 1 species